rnacentral:tRNA from 1 species
UUGAUAGAAACCAAAAAAGAGGUAUAUCAUUGUUAAUGAUAAUAUUGAACGAAUAGCUCCUAUCAAG